CCCCCCGAGGCAAAAACGACCCUAAGAUGUAUUCUGGAGAAUUAGGACCAAUUUGACCCUCAGAUGCUAAGAAAGAAAUGACUUAUAUUCUUCUGCAGUACUGCCUGGCAAUGAUAUCCUCUUCAAGGGGGAGAAACCUGGCGUCCUGAGGGAAGUAUAAAUUUUAACACUGUCUUAAAACUAGACAUCUUUUGUAGAAAAGAAGGCAAAUGGAGUGAAGUGCCGUAUGUACAAACUUUCUUUUCAUUAAGAGACAACUCGCGAUUAUGUAAAAAGUGUGAUUUAUGCCCUACAGGAAGCCCUCAGAGUCUACCUCCCUACCCCAGCGUCCCCCAACUCCUUCCCCAACUAAUAAGGACCCCCCCUUCAACCCAUUCGGUCCAAAAGGAGAUAGAUAAAGGGGUAAACAAUGAACCAAAGAGGGUGAAUAUUCCCUGAUUAUGCCCUCUCCAAGCAGUGGGAGGAGGAGAAUUCGACCCAGCCAGAGUGCAUGUACCGUUUUCUCUCUCAGACUUCAAGCAAAUUAAAAUAGACCUAGGUAAAUUCUCAGAUAACCCUGAUGGCUAUAUUGAUGUUUUACAAGGGUUAGGACACUCCUUUGAUCUGACACGGAGAGAUAUAAUGUUACUGCUAAAUCAAACACUAACCCCAAAUGAGAGAAAUGCUGCCAUAACUGCAGCCUGAAAGUUUGGCGAAUCUCUGGUAUUACAGUCAGGUCAACGAUAGGAUGACAACAGAGGAAAGAACGAUUCCCCACAGGCCAGCAGGCAGUUCCCAGUGUAGACCCUCAUUGGGACACAGAAUCAGAACAUGAAGAUUGGUGCCACAGACAUUUGCUAACUUGCGUGCUAAAAGGACUAAGGAAAACUAGGAAGCAGCCUAUGAAUUAUUCAGUGAUGUCCACUGUAACACAGGUGAAGGAAGAAAAUCCCACUGCCUUUCGGGAGAGACUAAGGGAGGCAUUGAGGAAGCACACCUCCCUGUCACCUGACUCUGUUGAAGGCUAACUAAUCUUAAAGGAUAAGUUUAUCACUUAGCUGCAGACAUUAGGAAAAAACUUCAAAAAUCUGCCUUAGGCCCAGAGCAAAACUUAGAAACCCUACUGAACUUGGCAACAUUUUUUUAUAAUAAAGAUCAGGAGGAGCAGGCGGAAUGCGACAAAUGGGAUAAAAAAAGGCCACCGCUUUAGUCAUGUCAUGGCCCUCAGGCAAGCGGACUUUGGAGACUCUGGAAAAGGGAUAAGCUGGACAAAUCAAAUGCCUAAUAGGACUUGCUUCCAGUGCGUUACAAGGACACUUUAAAAAAGAUUGUCCAAGUAGAAGUAAGCUGCCCCCUCGUCCACACCCCUUAUGUCAAGGGAAUCACUGGAAGGCGCACUGCCCCAGGGGAUGAAGGUCCUCUGAGUCAGAAGCCAGCAGUAGGACUGAGGGUGCCCAGGGCAAGCGCCAGCCCAUGCCAUCACCCUCACAGAGCCCCGGGUAUGCUUGACCAUUGAGGGCCAGAAGGUUAACUGUCUCCUGGACACUGGCGCAGCCUUUUCAGCCUUACUUUCCUGUCCCGGACAACUGUCCUCCAGAUCUGUCACUAUCCGAGGGGUCCUAGGACAGCCAGUCACUAGAUACUUCUCCCAGCCACUAUGUUGUGACUGAGGAAGUUUACUGCUUUCGCAUGCUUUUCUAAUUAUGCCUGAAAGCCCCACUCCCUUGUUAGGAAGAGACAUUCUAGCAAAAGCAGGGGCCAUUAUACACCUGAACAUAGGAGAAGGAACACCCGUUUGUUGUCCCCUGCUUGAGGAAGGAAUUAAUCCUGAAGUCUGGGCAACAGAAGGACAAUAUGGAUGAGUAAAAAAUGCCCAUCCUGUUCAAGUUAAACUAAAGGAUUCCACCUCCUUUCCCUACCAAAGGCAGUACCCCCUCAGACCUGAGGCCCAACAAGGCCUCCAAAGGAUUGUUAAGGACCUAAAAGCCCAAGGCCUAGUAAAACCAUGCAAUAGCCCCUGCAAUACUCCAAUUUUAGGAGUACAGAAAUCCAGUGGACAGUGGAGGUUAGUGCAAGAUCUCAGGAUUAUCAAUGAGGUUGUUGUUACUCUAUACCCAGCUGUACCUAGCCCUUAUACUCUGCUUUCGCAAAUACCACAGGAAGUAGAGUGGUUUACAGUCCUGGACCUUAAGGAUGCCUUUUCUGCAUCCCUGUACAUCCUGACUCUCCCUUUGAAGAUCCUUCAAACCCAGCGUCUCAACUCACCUGGACUGUUUUAUCCCAAGGGUUCGGGGAUAGCCCCCAUCUAUUUGGCCAGGCUUUAGCCCAAGACUUGAGCCAAUUCUCAUACCUGGACACUCUUGUCCUUCAGUACAUGGAUGAUUUACUUUUAGCCACCCGUUCAGAAACCUUGUGCCAUCAAGCCACCCAAGCGCUCUUAAAUUUCCUUGCUACCUGUGGCUACAAGGUUUCCAAACCAAAGGCUCCGGUCUCCUCAGAGCAGGUUAAAUACUUAGGUCUAAAAUUAUACAAAGGCACCAGGGCCCUCAGUGAGGAACGUGUCCAGCUUAUACUGCCUUAUCCUCAUCCCAAAACCCUAAAGCAACUAAGAGGGUUCCUUGGCAUAAUAGGUUUGUGAACAAUGGAACAACUUCAGCACAGAAAUAAACACCACUUCCGUUUUAGUAGGACCUCUUGUUUCCAAUCUGGAAAUAACCCAUACUUCAAACCUCACCUGUGUAAAAUUUAUCAAUACUAUAGACACAACCAACUACCAAUGCAUCAGGUGGGUAACUCCUCCCACUCGAACAGUCUACCUACCCUCAGGAAUAUUUUUUGUCUGUGGCACCUCAGCCUAUCAUUGUUUGAAUGGCUCUUUAGAAUCUAUGUGCUUCCUCUCAUUCUUAGUGCCCCCUAUGACCAUCUACACUGAACAAGAUUUACACAAUUAUGUCAUACCUAAGCCCCACAAAAAAGAGUACCCAUUCUUUUGUUAUCAGAGCAGGAGUGCUAGGUGGACAAGGUACUGGCGUUGGUGGUAUCACAACCUCUACUCAGUUCGACUACAAACUAUCUCAAGAACUAAAUGGUGACAUGAAAUGGGUCACCAACUCCCUGGUCACCUUGCAAGAUCAACUUAACUCCCUAGCAGCAGUAGUCCUUCAAAAUCGAAGAGCUUUAGACUUGCUAACCGCCAAAAGAGGGGGAACCUGUUUAUUUUUAGGGGAAAAUGCUGUUAUUAUGUUAAUCAAUCAGGCAUCAUCGCUGAGAAAGCUAAAGAAAUUUGAGAUCGAAUAUAACGUAGAGCAGAGGAGCUUCAAAACACUGGACCCUGCAGCCUCCUCAGCCAAUGGAUGCCCUGGAUUCUCCCCUUCUUAGGACCUCUGGAGAUGAUCACCAGAAACAAGAAGAAAAGCUCCUUCCUUCUGUGAUCCUCCAGCACUGUCUAUUGACAAAGCUUAGCAACAUGUUCACUGUAAAGAAGAAAUUCUUAAGGGGUUCAGCUCCAUUACCCUAAAAUGGUAAUAAAUGGAUUGGGGGUUGAGACAAUGUGUUGAUAACUGGGAAUAGUACAUUCCUUUAGCUACUCGUUUUCCAUAUUUACCCUUCACUCAUGUGAGUUCUGUACAAUGAAGCAACUCUGUGUUUCCACCUAACAAGAUAUUGCUAUUCUCACAAAUGAAGAAAUUCUCACCCUUCACAAAAUAAAAGAGCACAGUCCUAACCAUCACUGUAUCCAUUGCCAGCUAUAGUCAUUACUCCUCAAAUUCUAUGAUAGUUUCACUGAUUAUUUUCUUGCCUAAAGACUAUUAUGUAUGGUUAAGCAUCACUAGUUUGUGUAAAAAUAAAAAUGGAAAAAAGAGAAAUAGCCUACAUAAACAUAUAAUAGCCAAAGAGACUACAAAGACUACAAAUAACACAAAGCCACUACAGCCCAAAUUUCAGUAGUGGAGCACAAGGCCAUAGUUGAUACCUCUGGCUUAUAUUUCUUUUGACCUUGGCCAGAAGCUCGGCGGGUCAAUUCUUUAUCCAGUAGAGUGACCUAAAACUUCCUUCAGAAGAGUGAAGUCCUUAAUCGUCUGCCUUUUUUUUUUUUUUUUUUGGUAUAAGAACUGCUAAUGGGCACCCCAGAUAAUCCCCUGGAUUCCACAUAAUCCUCCUUCUCCUCAGUGUGUAGCAGCAACUCAAUUUCCCUUUGAAAAUUGAGAUCAAUCACUCCAACCAGUGAAGCAACUUCUUAUUUUUGGUCUGUUGUUUUAGUGACACAAACAGCCUCAAAUGACCAGGUGGCAAUGUUCUCUUCAAAUUCAGUGAAACUGUUGUGUCUCCUGAUGAAAGCAUUCUCCCUCUUGGCUGCAAAGACCUCCAAAUUAGCAAAGCUCAAAGUUUCCAUUGGAUUUGGCAGUUCCAUCACUGAUAACAGUAAAGAGAAUCAUUUCAGGGGAGUAGUGGGAACAGAAACCAGAUUACAAGAGGGUUUACGAUGAAGAGAAGGCAAGGCAGGGAAGCCAGUAAGUGAAUGCAGCCCACUCUUUCAAAAGAAAAGCUAUGAAAUUAAGCAGAGGAGAGCUCUGUAAAGCACUUAGAAGAGGACACAGUAUUUUGAGAGGAAUUUUUAAGAUGAGGAAAACUUACACAUCUUAUAAAAUUCAAGUGGAAAUUCUUCUAUGUAAAAAGAAAUUGAAGAAAGAGAUGAGUAAACAAGAUCCCAAAAGGGAUGGGAUCAAUAUACUCAAAGCAUUGGGAUCUCUGCCUCAGUCUCUGAGCCCAAAGAAGUGGGUAGGGCUGUGAUGGGAGAAAAUAAAGGCAAAUCUGUAGGAGGUGGAACAGGAAGUUGAGCUGGUUACCUUCCCCCAGUUUAAUUUUCAGAUUACAAAGCAAAGCCUUUGAUGAAAGAACUGAGUUGGUAGAGCAGGAAGAUUGAAGAAAAUGCACAAUUUUGAAAAGAACAAUAGUGGAAAAUAGAGAGGGACAAGGGAUAGAGAAAUCUAAUCUUGUUGUCUAUAAAUCAUGACUCAAAUUUUACUUCCUCCUUGAUGUGUGCUCUGCCUCUUCAACUGAUAGUAAAUAAAAAAUUAGUAACAUAUCUAUAUAGCAAUUAAAAACAGAGGUUUCUCUUUAAGCUCCUAUCCUAUAACUCUUAUAUAGCACUCGUUAUUUUCUGCUAUGUAGUUUUUUUCCUUUCUAGAAUCCACUGUAACUCUUUAAUGUAUUAGAUUUUUGUAUCCCUCAUAAGCAUCUACUAGAGUGUGUAGCUCAUUAACACAGUGUUUCCAUAACUAAUUGUUGUACAACAAACCAUGCUCUACUAAUGGAGUAAAGUAACAACCUUUUGUAAUUAUUCUCUCUCAUGGUUCUGGGGAUAACUAAGUGGUUCUCACUUGGGGGUCUCUCCUGAGGUUGCAGUCAGGAAACAUCUGGAGGCUCCUGCCUGCACAUCUCUGGAGUGUGAUGUUGGCUCCUGGUGGGACCUCAGCCAGGGGGCUGCCCUCCGCAAUACACAUAUGUGACUUCUCCAUGCGGCUUGGGCUUCCUCAGGGGACAGUGGCUGGGUUCCGAGAGCAAGUGUCCUAGAAAAGAGCUGGGCAGGUGCUAUAAUCCUUUUUAUGAUCUCUGAAGUCAUGCAGUAGUAUUCUGUAACAUUAUAUUUAUUAGAAUUAAGUCACUAAGGCCAGCCCAUAUUCAAGAGGUGGGGAGUUUAGACUCCAUGUCUUGAUGAGAGGAGUGUCAAGGGAUUUGAAGAUACUACACAUAUAAAUGCUAAUUAGUUGCUUGUUUUAAGCAUUUAUUGUAUUUUGAAAAAGCCCCAGAAAGAAAGAGAAUGAGAGUGGUGCACAGUCUUACAAGGUCUGAAUAGAAGUCAGGAAUAAUGCUAAAGAGUCAAUUAACCCAUAAAAGAUGCUAACCAUGGCUGCUUAUUUCACUAGUGUUUGUAAUCUUCUUUUACAAUCUCUUUUUAGGAGGUAAAAUUGAGCUGUUUGGUCUAGAAAGUUGUAGUAGGUCAGUGCUUCUGCUACUUUAUGGGCACACAGACUCCUGGGGAUCUUGUUAAAAUGCAAGAUUUUAACAAUGUGAUGCCAGGGGCAUCACAUUCUGCAUUUCUAGGAAGCUACAAGGGAGAUACUGCAGCUCCAUGGGCCACCCAUUGAACAGCAAGUUAGCAGAAAGUAAUACGGGUAACUGCCUGGCUCCUGUGAUCCCACCCUUCUCUGGGAGGAGCGCUAAUGGGGUAUGCCACCAGAGGUCCUUAUGGGCUUACAAGACCUUAGCCCUCUGGCCUGUGAACUCGUGAUGCCAAUAAGGUUAAUCUGUUCUUCCACAAGACUUGUAGAACUGGAAUUAAAGGAAGAGAGUAAUUUACCUCUUCCUUUAGAAUUAAGUCACUAAGGCCAGCCCAUAUUCAAGAGGUGGGGAGUUUAGACUCCAUGUCUUGAUGAGAGGAGUGUCAAGGGAUUUGAAGAUACUACACAUAUAAAUGCUAAUUAGUUGCUUGUUUUAAGCAUUUAUUGUAUUUUGAAAAGCAGAGAGUAAUCUACCAUAUUCCGUGGUAGAAGCACGGAAUAUGAGGCUCUAUCCAUCAUGUCAGAAAGCCAGUUUCCAGGAGGAAUAAAGGGAACACACAGAGAGAAGAGAAUCCAGGUGACACUCCAGCGCCUGAUGAGGCUCAGACCUGACCCCACUCUGAAAGAUUAUACAAAAUAUCCUAAUAUUGUUCCGGCAAAUUCCCCUCUUGGCCUAAAUUUGUUCUACUUGGGUUUUUAUCAUUUGAAACUAAAAAAGCUCUAACAAAGGGUAGGGAAAGUAGGGGAUAUGUUCUCUUGGAAAUGUAAUGCUCACUGUUUUGCAGUACUAGAUGAUUAUCCAGACGUCUGCAAUCUGAGGGUGAGGAAAGACUGUCCCUUAAGUCAUGUUAAAGGUGUGUUCCCAGCAGAGUGGACUGAAUAUGAAAGAAGACGACAAUGGAACACUAAGGCCGAGGGAAGAUGAGAAAAGUCUCAACCUACCUAAAAUAGGAAAAACAUCUGGAAAAGGGAGGCAAAGAGAGUCUAUGGAUUAAAAUCGUUGGAUAGUAUCGAAAGAAACUGUUACCCAAAAGUGAUGCCUGCUGAAAACAGAUGGGAAAAGGACAGUCUAGGAAUAGCAAAGCUAAUAUUCUCUAAAGAGUGACCAGACCCUGGGCCUGAGUGGAAGUUAAAAGCAAGAUAGUCCUGCCCAGCAAAGAACAAAACAUUGACUUUUCGUAUAUGUUGGACAUUGUGUGAUUUGCUUUACAUUUAUGACCUUAUUAAAUGACCCCCUAAGAAAGUUUCGCUCAUGCCCGUCCCUGAAACUCUAGCACAGUCACAGCUGGCACUCCCACAGUCGAAAGAGAGGAAACCGAAUGUGGAUCAUAUCAUGUGGUUCCCACCUGGCAGACCCUAUGACUGGGUAUGCCUCAGCAGGCAAAUCUCAGAGUCCUCCGAAGUCUCAGAGACUGCAAGCUGUGCAGGUGACACAAGAAUGACACGGCCACCUUUCCAUGUUUGGAGUAAAUUUUUAAUAACCAGUUUCUUGGUUACAACUUCAUCUAUAUAAAUCCCCUUAUUCUAGGAUCUACACAGUUAAACCUAAUAUUUCACAGCACAUUUCUAAAACAGUACAUUUUUUACACUAAAAAAAUAAAAUAAAAUAAAAGCCUGGUUACCACCAAGGUGUAUUGUCCAUGAAUUGAAAGGCUUUCCUAUUUAAGUAGCAGGUACAUGUGUAAAUAGGGCAGGCAGCAACAGAACAGCAAUAUUGGAGAACGCUUUCUUUGUAGUAAAUGCCCUUGAGUAUGAGAUGUGACAAUGAAGCAAUAAGGCCAAUUCUAUAAAGCAAAAAUGGAUACUGAUCUCCUUAUUUUGUAGCCAUACCUUAUGGUAUGUUUAUAACGUAUUUCUUUCACAUGUUAAAACAGUAUCUACUAAAGAUGGGCUUAAUUUUGGUAAAGUGAACUGAAAAAAGUUAUAUGUUAAUGCAACAUUUGUUGUAAAGAUUCCAGAAACGCAGGAGUCAAAAAUUCAAAUUAUGAUUCCCACAGUAACUGUAACUCUGGUAUACAACAUACAUAAUGGAAGAAAUGUUAUCAACAUAUACCAUAGUAGAAAAUACUCAGUAAGCAGAAACAAGCUGAGUUAUGCUUGCUGUGGGAAUCAUCAUUCUCAACUAGCUGGGAAUAUAUAAAAAUCGAAACCAUAAAUGCAUGCAUUAUUUUUUGCAGUUAAUUCUAAUUUUUCUUGAUCCAAUUUAAUCAGCUUUGUAUCCAAACUACAUUUUCCCUUCACAAACUGCAAAUGAACGUCUUUCGUAAUUUUAAAAUCGACAUCAUUUGAUUUCUUUUUCUCACACAGGCUGCCUUUUGCAGGAUGGCAUCAUUACACCCUGUCCCUCCCUGAAAUGUCAGGACACAUCUGCUGGGAUUCAUUUAUCUACAUUCCUUUUCUCUCUGAAGGACACCAUGGGGAAGGA